GGGAUAAGCCUGGGAAACCGGGUCUAAUACCGGAUACGACGGACCACCGCAUGGCGGUCCGUGGAAAGCUUGAUGCGGUUUUGGAUGGACUCGCGGCCUAUCAGCUAGUUGGUUGGGGUAAUGGCCCACCAAGGCGACGACGGGUAGCCGGCCUGAGAGGGUGACCGGCCACACUGGGACUGAGACACGGCCCAGACUCCUACGGGAGGCAGCAGUGGGGAAUAUUGCACAAUGGGCGAAAGCCUGAUGCAGCGACGCCGCGUGAGGGACGAAGGCCUUCGGGUUGUAAACCUCUUUCAGCAGGGAAGAAGCGAAAGUGACGGUACCUGCAGAAGAAGCGCCGGCUAACUACGUGCCAGCAGCCGCGGUAAUACGUAGGGCGCAAGCGUUAUCCGGAAUUAUUGGGCGUAAAGAGCUCGUAGGCGGUUUGUCGCGUCUGCUGUGAAAGCCCGGGGCUCAACCCCGGGUCUGCAGUGGGUACGGGCAGACUAGAGUGCAGU
rnacentral:rRNA from 1 species